GCCUUUGGUUUGAUUCUCAAUACCAUAGUGAGAAGGUUAGAAAGAAGAGGAGAAGGAGGAAGAGGAAAAGCAGGAGAAGAAAAAGGAAAGGAGGAGAAAUAAAGGUCAUGAUGAAUUCAACCUCUUCCUGAUGAAGGACUCAUUACGAAUACCCUCCCCAUCUCAAGUUAUGUAACUUCAUUAUAUAUUCAAGGAGGAAGGGGAGGCUGAGGAGCCUCGGGAGGUAAGGAAAACGUCACUCCUCAGGAAGAACAAACUUGAAGAUUCCCAAGGCUCCUGCCCUGCCUGAUAAAAAGGAGUAAACAGCUGCUGGAGGUGGACACUGACCAGCCAGGCUGCAAAGAAGAGAUACUUCUUGAAUUGCAGCUGCCUGCAGACUGUGCAGAGGGGUCCAGCUGCUCCUGACUCUUUCCUGACUCUUGUAAACCCAGUUAAAGUUCAUUGUUUUCCCCAAA